GACUGGGAUGAUGGUAUACGUAUACAUACACUUUUGAAUACGUAUAACAUUUCGAGGACAACCGAAGAGUAUGAACUAUGAAGAGGAAGAGAGAGAAACUAUUGUCUUUCUGGAAAGAGAGAGAAAGCACCGGCACCGAGCUCCCCGAUUUUACCUUGCAAUUCCAAUGCCAUUCCCGUCGUUGUUCUGCCACCGGCACCGAGCUCCGCGAAUUUCAUCACAUAAGCAAUACUGAUUUCUGAAAACCUUUGAAAAAGAAGAUCGCCGGGAUUUUUUUUAAAGCUUGAAGUUUCCUAUUUCUGUUUCUCGAAAGCUAUGGUGUGAGGAGAGAGACUGAUAGUUUAAAAACUGCUUCAGGUCAGACGCAACCUUGACCAAGCGUAGACCCAUUAGAGAUCCCUCUUUUUUCACAGCUUUACAGUUCCCUCUUUUUUAAGCUUUACAUUUCCCAUUGGAGCUCCCUCUUUUGACCAAGGACCCAUUAGAGCCAGUUAUGCCGUUUACCAAGCCUCUUGUUCCAGACAAGCUGGCAGCUGCUGAGUAUGGUAGGGGACUAGGGAUUUAGGUUCAAAUGUUCAAUGUAGGUAGGUUGUCUUCAGAGUCAGGAACACAAACACAUUCUUCAGCUUCAAAUAGAUAAUUGUUUACCAAAGUGACAAGGCAACAUGAGAACUGCUAGAUGCCCUAACACUAGGAUAAUUUAUCUUAAGCCUACCUCUAUAGGCUCCAUCGGUUUGUUGAAACUUAUUGUCAUGUGAUCAGAUGCCCCUAAGUCUGUAAUUCAUUCAUCCAAUACAGCCAAGCCUGUUACAUUUCCAUCGAUUUUCAUUUCUGAUUAGAUUUUGUUAAUGGAGGAAAUCGCUUCAGAAGUUGUUAAAGCUGUUGAGUCGUGAAUGUAACACAAGUAUUUUCCACUGGCCAUUAGCAUUGACAGCAACUCUUUUCCUUGCUUUAAGCUUUGUUGCAUUUGUUCCCAGAUAAUGACUCUUUAGGCUUGACUCUUUUUCGUGUUUUGUACGUAAGAUGUCACCUGGAAUGAACAAUCACAGUUUCAGCAUUUAUCUACUAAGUGACCUUACUUCAGACAACUCAUAGUCCUCUGGACCUGGAAAAUCACAUGCAUUCCGUUGGAGAAUUGGUCUAGGGGGGAGAAUCAAAUUUGAUAGAUGGAAUCCACUUAUGCAUACACCGGUCAAUUAAGGAGAUUCCUUAUACUUGUCUCCAAGAUAAUAGCCCUAACACAGUUUAUGUAGCCAGGGUUAGAUUUCUGUAUAAUCUGGUUUGAGCUUCUCUUUAAAAAUGCGGGAACCAAGUUGUUGCUAAGUUGUCCUUGAUUAACCAGCAUGUGCCGAAUGCUAAUUUGUUGCUUACUCACCAUUACAUUGGCAAUAUGCAGUUUUCCUUACAGGUAGAACUUUGUCUAAACUAAAGAAGUGCAUGUUAGCUUAUGAUACAUAUGAAUAAACAUAAAUCAUGCGGAAAAGCCAUAAAGUCAGGAAAUAUAUUAUUUACACAUAAUCAUUUAUCAUAAUUCAGAUGCAUACACUUUGUAGCGUGCCCUCCCUAGCUGCGCCCGAACCGAACAAGAACAAGUCUUUAGGACUCCAAGUGUCGUCCCUCCGUAGAUAGUCCACAACACGUCCGGAUCCGCCUUAAGCUUGACCAACUAGAAUCGCCCUUAAGGUUACUUAGGAUUUUCGGCUAUUUUGGGUUGCAAGUGUGUGGCUGAUUUUUGCUUAAAAAUCUUACCUUUGAAUACUUCAAAAUCAUCUGUUAAAUAUGUGACCCUAGGCCCUUAUUUAUAGAGUUUAUGGAAAGGAAUUAUAAUCCUACUAGGAUAUGGAUUUAUUAAUUAGAAUCCUAAUAGAACUCUAAAUAAUAAAUUUAAUCUUUUAGGAUUAGGAUUUAAUCAAUGCACGAAUUCCGAUAGGAUUAGGAUUCGUUACGAACACGAGCACACGCACACGCAUGCACGCCCGUACGCAGGCCUUGCGGCCCACGCCGAGCGCACAGCGCAUGCGGCCUUGCAACCCAUGAGCUUCGUGCGCGCCUGCCAGUGCUUGGUUGGGCCUGGCCUUGCGCUUGGCCUGGUCGAGCACUUGGCGUGUGGCUUGCUUGGCCGAGGCUAGGCCAACGCCAAGCAAGCCUCGUCCGAUGCUAAUUCGUACGAUACGCUUUGCGAUGAAAUUCCCGAUUCCGGAAUUCAUUUCCGAUACGAACAAUAUUUAAUAUUUUCGAUUCCGGAAUUAAUUUCCGUUUCAAACAAAUAUUUAAUAUUUCCGUUUCCGGAAUUAUUUUCCGAUUACGAUAAUAUUUCCGAUUCUGACAAUAUUUCCGUUUCCAGCAAUAUUUCCGAUUCCGGCAAUAUUUCCAUUUCCAUUAAUAUUUUCCGAUACGUACCAUGUUUUCGUUUCCGGCAACAUCUACGACUUGGAUAAUAUUUAUAUUUCCGAUACAAUCCAUAUAUCCGUUUCCGGCAAUAUCAUCGUUUCCGGAAUAUUCAUUUGCUUGCCUUUGACGAUUUUAGCUCCCACUGAAACCAAGAUCCGUCGAUUCUGAAUAUCCAUAGAUGGAAUAUUUAAUGCCAUUAAAUACUUGAUCCGUUUACGUACUUUUUGUGUGACUCUACGGGUUCAGUUAAGAGUAAGC